rnacentral:snoRNA from 1 species
UUACAGCUUAUAAAAGAAAAAGAUUGGUUCACAUGGAAUCACUGUGAAGAGUAAAAUUCAAGCUUUUUAACCCUGAGUCAU